ACGAACGCUGGCGGCAGGCUUAACACAUGCAAGUCGAACGCCCCGCAAGGGGAGUGGCAGACGGGUGAGUAACACGUGGGAACAUGCCCAAAGGUACGGAAUAUCCUCGGGAAACUGGGAGCAAUACCGUAUGUGCCCGAAAGGGGAAAGAUUUAUCGCCUUUGGAUUGGCCCGCGUUGGAUUAGCUAGUUGGUGGGGUAAAAGCCUACCAAGGCGACGAUCCAUAGCUGGUCUGAGAGGACGACCAGCCACACUGGGACUGAGACACGGCCCAGACUCCUACGGGAGGCAGCAGUGGGGAAUCUUGGACAAUGGGCGCAAGCCUGAUCCAGCCAUGCCGCGUGAGUGAUGAAGGCCCUAGGGUUGUAAAACUCUUUCGUGGGGGACGAUAAUGACGGUACCCCAAGAAGAAGCUCCGGCUAACUUCGU
rnacentral:rRNA from 1 species